GUCUUCAAGGCUCAGCCACGUUGCUGCUCUUGCAGAGUUUCACUCCUUUUCAAGGCUGAAUAAUACUCCAGCGUAUGUGUCUACCACAUGGCGUUCAUCCAUGUGUCCAUCAGGGGACAUCUGCUUGCUUUCGCUUUGGGCUACUGCAGGUCAACCAAAGGUCCAGGCCUAGAUAAAAGGACUGCCCCAUGCUCAGCGAGCUGAGUUGCUCAGCCCGCGUCCAGGAUGAACCAAGGCUCCUCGCUGACACUCCAGUUUCAAAACAAAGCUUUGAAAGAGAACUGCAUUCAGUGGAAAAUCCCCCCGUAACAAGGCCCCUGGGAGCAUUCUGGGAACACCAUCUGUCAAGCAUCAUUCCCACAACCUGUGACCAGAACAGCCUUUCAGUGUCACUACCAAUCACAAUCAUCACAUCCUGUGUCUUUAGACAGUGGUCCUGGACCCUGUAAAGCCCUUCAUCCGGACUCAGUUUGGCCUCAUACAACUCUCUGAAUGAUGCACAGAUUUGGGGACCACUGCCCACCAUGCCAUCUGCACAGAAUCUGGGAAUCCUGGAAACUGCAGGCUUAGAAGGACCAUCAGAGCUCCAGGAGGACACUCACCUGCCCAGCACAAGUUGUCUCUCCGAGGCGUC